ACAUUUUGUCCUUAGAUGGACAUGCCACGCUCCAGUGCAUCUGUAAGAAGUUUUCAGGUGGUUGCCUUAACUGAUGUGAACAGAGAAACAGUCUACGAGGAUUCAGGCAGCAAUAUCUGUUAUUACAGAUAUUUCUAGGCACCAGCACAGAAAGCUUGCAGAUUGACUGUAAAAGGCAGCAGGAAGGAAGAAGAAAUGUUUGGUCUUUUGCGAUCCUGAAUGCAAGCUUAUCACUGGGCUUCUAUUUUAGCUAGGCGUAGAAUUCUCCACUCAAAAUUAUCUUCCCUCAGUGUUGAAGGCAUUUCUCCAAUAUCUUCAAGUACUCUGGGUUGUUGAUAAGAAUUGGGAAGCCAAUGAGAUUUUCGUAAUUUUUUUCUUUUUUGGAGUCCUCUAGGCUCUUUGCUUUAUCCUUGGUGUGCUAACGUUUCAGAGAGCUACCGGGCUUUUUCCACUCACUGAAAUGAAAGUUCUGUAAAUCAGAGACUUCGCCUUGUUCACUUCUGAUUGUGAGCUCCUUGCACCAAUGUGCCUGACACAUAAUAGAAACUCAAUAAAUAGUUGUUGAAUAAAUUUUUGGAACAAAUUUAUUCUGUGGAACCCUUGGAAGAUGCUUUUAAGCUGAAGAAUCUGUCCUUUUUCAUUGAAAAAGUCCCAAACUUCAUUUUCCUAAGCUCUCCUCUCUUUCAUUCACCCUUCUUCAAUGGCAAUAAAGACGUAAAUUCCCUCAGUUUGUUGAGAUCUAAAAUGCUAAAAUGGCAUCUCUCUAUCUCAUUCUUUUUGUCUUUUCUUUUCAGUCAACUGGCUUC
rnacentral:lncRNA from 1 species